ensembl:lncRNA
ACUAUUUCUUUGUUCUUUCCAAUUUCAUCCUUUUCUAGAUCAAUAUCUUGUAUUUUCUGGACAAGUGCUGAUCUCUCUAGUUUGAUUGCUUCUCUCAUGUCUUCCAUUUGCUUUCUUUCUGUCAUGAUGUCAGACCUCAUCUUUUGCAGGUCUUUUCUUUCCUGUUUAAUCAUCAUCUUAUCUUCGUCCAUUUCAGUUUUCUCUCGUUCCAGUUCCCUUAUUAUCUGAUCGAGUUGUUCUCUCUCUAUCUUUGCUUUUACUCUCAUUUCUUCUUCUUUCUCUUUUUCUUUCAUAAUAUGUUCUUGCAGUGUGUUCAACUCUUGUAUUUUUAGGCUUAUGUCUUGUUGUUCCUGCUCAGCUUUAGUCUUCAGCUCCAGGAUCUUGACUUUGGUCUGUUCUAGACCUUUUCUUUCUUCUUCCAUCUCAUUCUGUUUCAUGAAAUCUUGUUCCUUCUGUUGCCUGGCUUGAGUAUCAAAUUCAUCAAUUCUCUGUUGUAACUCUGUCCAUUUAUGCUUUAUUUCUUCUCUUUCUUGUUCUAGAAGGUCUCUGCUGUUCUUCAUCUCUUGUUUUUGUUUAUCCAGAUCCUCUUUCUGUCUCUUUGUUUCUUCAGUGACACUCUCAAUGUCUUCCUUUUCCUUUUGUAGACGAGCUUCCAUUUCCUUCAGUGUUUCUCUCUCCUUCUUUAUUCCCUCCUCCAUGUAUUUGUUUUGUUCAGUUUGUUUUUGCAGCUCUGUCAUACUUUGAGCUAGAAUUAAUUUUUCAUCAGUGAUCUUUUGUCUUUCGAGGUCAAGUUCUUCUCUCUGGAGUUUCAUAUAAUUUCUCUGCUCUUCUACUUUAUCCAUUAAUUUCUGAACUAUUUCUUUGUUCUUUCCAAUUUCAUCCUUUUCUAGAUCAAUAUCUUGUAUUUUCUGGACAAGUGCUGAUCUCUCUAGUUUGAUUGCUUCUCUCAUGUCUUCCAUUUGCUUUCUUUCUGUCAUGAUGUCAGACCUCAUCUUUUGCAGGUCUUUUCUUUCCUGUUUAAUCAUCAUCUUAUCUUCGUCCAUUUCAGUUUUCUCUCGUUCCAGUUCCCUUAUUAUCUGAUCGAGUUGUUCUCUCUCUAUCUUUGCUUUUACUCUCAUUUCUUCUUCUUUCUCUUUUUCUUUCAUAAUAUGUUCUUGCAGUGUGUUCAACUCUUGAAAUUGUUGGCUUAUGUCAUGUUGUUCCUGCUCAGCUUUAGUCUUCAGCUCCAGGAUCUUGACUUUGGUCUGUUCUAGACCUUUUCUUUCUUCUUCCAUCUCAUUCUGUUUCAUGAAAUCUUGUUCCUUCUGUUGCC